AACAUGACUCUCGGCAACGGAUAUCUCGGCUCUCGCAUCGAUGAAGAACGUAGCAAAAUGCGAUACCUGGUGUGAAUUGCAGAAUCCCGUGAACCAUCGAGUUUUUGAACGCAAGUUGCGCCCGAGGCCUUCUGGUUGAGGGCACGUCUGCCUGGGCGUCACGC
rnacentral:rRNA from 15 species